rnacentral:rRNA from 1 species
GAUGAACGCUGGCGGCGUGCCUAAUACAUGCAAGUCGAGCGAAUGGAUUAAGAGCUUGCUCUUAUGAAGUUAGCGGCGGACGGGUGAGUAACACGUGGGUAACCUGCCCAUAAGACUGGGAUAACUCCGGGAAACCGGGGCUAAUACCGGAUAACAUUUUGAACCGCAUGGUUCGAAAUUGAAAGGCGGCUUCGGCUGUCACUUAUGGAUGGACCCGCGUCGCAUUAGCUAGUUGGUGAGGUAACGGCUCACCAAGGCAACGAUGCGUAGCCGACCUGGGAGGGUGAUCGGACACACUGGGACGGGGACACGGCCCAGACGCCUACGGGCGGCAGCAGUAGGGAAUCUUCCGCAAUGGACGAAAGUCUGACGGAGCAACGCCGCGUGAGUGAUGAAGGCUUUCGGGUCGUAAAACUCUGUUGUUAGGGAAGAACAAGUGCUAGUUGAAUAAGCUGGCACCUUGACGGUACCUAACCAGAAAGCCACGGCUAACUACGUGCCAGCCGCCGCAGUAA